GUGAAUCAUCGAAUUUUUGAACGCAAAUUGCACUCCCUGGUAUUCCGGGGAGUAUGCCUGUUUGAGGGUCGUUAGAAGAAAAAUCGACGCAUCGCUCUUUUUUUUGAGGGUGAUCGCGUCGUAAUAGAGCCGACUUUCAAAUGUUAAUUCAUAUCAAUGUGGCUUCAAAUUCAUCCAUCCGGUACGAUUAAAGCGUAUUAAUGACCAAUAUUGAUUAAGACCGCGCG
rnacentral:misc_RNA from 1 species